UUGGUUAAGCUAAUAAGAGCACACGGAGGAUGCCUAGGCGCCAGGAGCCGACGAAGGACGUGGCGAACAACGAAACUGCCUCGGGGAGCUGUAAGCAAGCUUUGAUCCGGGGGUGUCCGAAUGGGGAAACCCGGCUGUGGUAAUUCGCAGUCACUCACAUCUGAAUACAUAGGAUGUGUAGAGGCAGACCAGGGGAACUGAAACAUCUAAGUACCCUGAGGAAGAGAAAACAAUAGUGAUUCCGUCAGUAGCGGCGAGCGAACGCGGAACAGCCUAAACCAGGGGGCUUGCCUCCUGGGGUUGUGGGACGUCUCACAUGGAGUUACAAAAGGUUAGGUUAGGCGAAGAGGUCUGGAAAGGCCCGCGAUAGAGGUAAAAGCCCUGUAGCCAAAAGUUUAACCCCUCCGAGACGGAUCCCGAGUAGUGCGGGGCACGUGAAACCCCGUAUGAAUCCAGCAGGACCAUCUGCUAAGGCUAAAUACUACCUGGCGACCGAUAGUGAAUCAGUACCGUGAGGGAAAGGUGAAAAGCACCCCGGAAGGGGAGUGAAAUAGAACCUGAAACCGUGUGCUUACAAGAAGUCAGAGCCCUUUUUAUGGGUGAUGGCGUGCCUUUUGUAGAAUGAACCGGCGAGUUACGUUUAACAUGCAAGGUUAAGGUGAGAAGCCGGAGCCGCAGCGAAAGCGAGUCUGAAUAGGGCGACUAAGUAUGUGGACGUAGACCCGAAACCGUGUGAUCUACCCCUGUCCAGGGUGAAGGUGCGGUAACACGCACUGGAGGCCCGAACCCACGUACGUUGAAAAGUGCGGGGAUGAGGUGGGGGUAGCGGAGAAAUUCCAAUCGAACUCGGAGAUAGCUGGUUCUCCCCGAAAUAGCUUUAGGGCUAGCCUCGGUGAAUGGAGUGGUGGAGGUAGAGCACUGAUUGGGUGCGGGGCCCGCAAGGGUUACCAAGCUCAGUCAAACUCCGAAUGCCAUUUACUUCUUGCCGGGAGUCAGACAGUGAGUGCUAAGAUCCAUUGUCAAAAGGGAAACAGCCCAGACCAUCAGCUAAGGUCCCCAAGUGUGUGUUAAGUGGGAAAGGAUGUGGAGUUGCACAGACAACCAGGAUGUUGGCUUAGAAGCAGCCACCAUUGAAAGAGUGCGUAAUAGCUCACUGGUCGAGUGACUCUGCGCCGAAAAUGUAACGGGGCUAAACACACCACCGAAGCUAUGGCUUGAUGCGUAUGCAUCAGGGGUAGGGGAGCGUUGUGUAUGCGUUGAAGGUGUACCGUAAGGAGCGCUGGAGAGUACACAAGUGAGAAUGCCGGUAUGAGUAACGAAAAGAUCAGUGAGAAUCUGAUCCGCCGAAAGCCCAAGGUUUCCUGAGGAAGGCUCGUCCGCUCAGGGUAAGUCGGGACCUAAGGCGAGGCCGACAGGCGUAGUCGAAGGACAACAGUUUGAAAUUACUGUACCACCGUAAUCCGCUAUGAGCGAUGGGGUGACGCAGGAGGGUAGUGACGCGGACUGAUGGAUGUCCGUCUAAGCAGUGAGGCUGGUGUGCAGGCAAAUCCGCACACCGUAAGGCUGGGCUGUGAUGGGGAGCGAAAAUUACAGUAGCGAAGGUCAUGAUCUCACACUGCCAAGAAAAGCCUCUAGCCAGGAGAAGGUGCCCGUACCGCAAACCGACACAGGUAGGCGAGAAGAGAAUUCUAAGGCGCGCGGAAGAACUCUCGUUAAGGAACUCGGCAAAAUGACCCCGUAACUUCGGGAGAAGGGGUGCCUCGGUAGGGUGAAUAGCCCGAGGGGGCCGCAGUGAAAAGGCCCAAGCGACUGUUUAGCAAAAACACAGGUCUGUGCGAAGCCGCAAGGCGAAGUAUACGGGCUGACGCCUGCCCGGUGCUGGAAGGUUAAGGGGAGUGGUUAGGGGUAACCCGAAGCUAUGAACCGAAGCCCCAGUAAACGGCGGCCGUAACUAUAACGGUCCUAAGGUAGCGAAAUUCCUUGUCAGGUAAAUUCUGACCCGCACGAAUGGCGUAACGACUUGGGCGCUGUCUCAACGAGAGAUCCGGUGAAAUUUUAAUACCUGUGAAGAUGCAGGUUACCCGCGACAAGACGGAAAGACCCCAUGGAGCUUUACUGCAGCUUGAUAUUGAAUUUGGGUACGAUCUGUACAGGAUAGGUGGGAGCCGUAGAAGCAGGAGCGCAAGCUUCUGUGGAGGCGCCGUUGGGAUACCACCCUGAUCGUAUCUAGGUUCUAACCUGGUACCCUAAGCGGGUACAGGGACCGUGUCAGGCGGGCAGUUUGACUGGGGCGGUCGCCUCCUAAAGAGUAACGGAGGCGUUCAAAGGUUCCCUCAGAAUGGUUGGAAAUCAUUCGAAGAGUGCAAAGGCAUAAGGGAGCUUGACUGCGAGACCUACAAGUCGAGCAGGGACGAAAGUCGGACUUAGUGAUCCGGUGGUACCGCAUGGAAGGGCCAUCGCUCAACGGAUAAAAGCUACCCUGGGGAUAACAGGCUUAUCUCCCCCAAGAGUCCACAUCGACGGGGAGGUUUGGCACCUCGAUGUCGGCUCAUCGCAUCCUGGGGCUGAAGUAGGUCCCAAGGGUUGGGCUGUUCGCCCAUUAAAGCGGUACGCGAGCUGGGUUCAGAACGUCGUGAGACAGUUCGGUCCCUAUCUGUCGUGGGCGUAGGAAAUUUGAGAGGAGCUGUCCUUAGUACGAGAGGACCGGGAUGGACGUACCGCUGGUGCACCAGUUGUUCCGCCAGGAGCAUGGCUGGGUAGCUACGUACGGACGGGAUAAGCGCUGAAAGCAUCUAAGCGUGAAGCCCCCCUCAAGAUGAGAUUUCCCAAUUAGUAAGACCCCUUGAAGACGACGAGGUAGAUAGGUUGGAGGUGGAAGUGCAGUAAUGCAUGGAGCUGACCAAUACUAAUCGGUCGAGGGCUUAUCCAAAA
rnacentral:rRNA from 1 species